UUAAGCAUAUCAAUAAGCGGAGGAAAAGAAACUAACAAGGAUUCCCCUAGUAACUGCGAGUGAAGCGGGAAAAGCUCAAAUUUAAAAUCUGGCGGUCUUUGGCCGUCCGAGUUGUAGUCUGGAGAAGUGCUUUCCGCGCUGGACCGUGUAUAAGUCUCUUGGAACAGAGCGUCAUAGAGGGUGAGAAUCCCGUCUUUGACACGGACUGCCAGUGCUUUGUGAUGCGCUCUCAAAGAGUCGAGUUGUUUGGGAAUGCAGCUCAAAAUGGGUGGUGAAUUCCAUCUAAAGCUAAAUAUUGGCGAGAGACCGAUAGCGAACAAGUACCGUGAGGGAAAGAUGAAAAGCACUUUGGAAAGAGAGUUAAACAGUACGUGAAAUUGCUGAAAGGGAAACGCUUGAAGUCAGUCGCGUUGUCCGGAACUCAGCCUUGCUUUCGCUUGGUGCACUUUCCGGAUUGACGGGUCAGCAUCGAUUUUGACCGUCGGAAAAGGGCUGGAGUAAUGUGGCACCUCCGGGUGUGUUAUAGACUCUGGUCGCAUACGGCGGUUGGGAUCGAGGAACGCAGCGCGCCGUAAGGCAGGGGUUCGCCCACUUUCGCGCUUAGGAUGCUGGCAUAAUGGCUUUAAACGACCCGUCUUGAAACACGGACCAAGGAGUCUAACAUACCUGCGAGUGUUUGGGUGGAAAACCCGAGCGCGCAAUGAAAGUGAAAGUUGAGAUCCCUGUCGUGGGGAGCACCGACGCCCGGACCUGACGUUCUCUGACGGAUCCGCGGUAGAGCAUGUAUGUUGGGACCCGAAAGAUGGUGAACUAUGCCUGAAUAGGGUGAAGCCAGAGGAAACUCUGGUGGAGGCUCGUAGCGAUUCUGACGUGCAAAUCGAUCGUCAAAUUUGGGUAUA
rnacentral:rRNA from 1 species